ACACACACGUCAUAAACUAAAUACCGCGUUGUUGUAUGCAUUUUAAGGCUUAGGUUGUGCUGUUAUGUAUACGACUAAAGUUAAGGCUAAGUGGGUAGUGUUCAGUUGGUGUAUUAAACGGUAUUUUUAUUUAUAUAGCCUAGUCAAAGAGAAAUAAAAACACUUUUUAGAUAAACUUGUUUUAAAAACAAUUAUUUACUUUAGAAAAUAGCUUGCACAUUGCGCUGAUAUCGUUAAAACGGAGAGAAACAUAAUGUAGCCUAACAGCCCAGUCGCAUUCACAGUCACAGACCAAGGUAUCACUACAUCAGUCUAUGACUGAGUAAUUGAAAUUUAAAAUUGGAUGUUGUUUUCUUUUCGUCUCUGAAAUCUAGAUAGAUCAAAGUACACAGAUGCCCACUGGGUUACGCAUCCCAUUCUCCGACAUUUGGCCACUUGUUGACAAAUCGGUCCUUCGUAUAGAGAAUCGAAAAAGUUUGGCUACCGGUCUUCUCGGAGUGGCGGUACGAGGCCUUAUUGUCCGAUCUGUCAUCAAGACUUCUAUGAUAGACAGGUUCUGAAGAGGCACAUGGAUCGACACAAUCGCCGAAGACAGACAUUUCAAUGUGAUGUGUGUUCUAAAACCUUUCUCUAUGCAGCAGGAUUGUAUAGACAUAGGAAACAACAUGGAGGAGCACCAGUGUUUCAAUGCCCUUUGUGUCAGAAAACAUUUGUCUAUAGUUUGUCUUUAACAUCACAUUUGAAGAAUAACCAUAGUCUAUACUAAUCUUUUUUUUAUAAGCUAAUUAGAUUUAUGUUUACACUGAGGUUUAAUUAUGAUCUUCACUGAAUAUUUAUAUUUUUUCUUUAAGUUAACUUA